rnacentral:rRNA from 1 species
GACGAACGCUGGCGGCGUGCUUAACACAUGCAAGUCGAACGGAAAGGCCCUGCUUUUGUGGGGUGCUCGAGUGGCGAACGGGUGAGUAACACGUGAGUAACCUGCCCUUGACUUUGGGAUAACUUCAGGAAACUGGGGCUAAUACCGGAUAGGAGCUCCUGCUGCAUGGUGGGGGUUGGAAAGUUUCGGCGGUUGGGGAUGGACUCGCGGCUUAUCAGCUUGUUGGUGGGGUAGUGGCUUACCAAGGCUUCGACGGGUAGCCGGCCUGGGAGGGUGACCGGCCACAUUGGGACUGAGGUACGGCCCAGAAUCCUACGGGAGGCAGCAGUGGGGAAUAUUGCACAAUGGGCGGAAGCCUGAUGCAGAGACGCCGCGUGCGGGAUGACGGCCUUCGGGUUGUAAACCGCUUUCGCCUGUGACGAAGCGUGAGUGACGGUAAUGGGUAAAGAAGCACCGGCUAACUACGUG